GUAGGUGGCAAGCGUUGUCCGGAAUUAUUGGGCGUAAAGCGCGCGCAGGCGGUUCUUUAAGUCUGAUGUGAAAGACCCACGGGCUCAACCGUGGAGGGUCAUUGGAAACUGGAGAACUUGAGUACAGAAGAGGAAAGCGGAAUUCCACGUGUAGCGGUGAAAUGCGUAGAGAUGUGGAGGAACACCAGUGGCGAAGGCGGCUUUCUGGUCUGUAACUGACGCUGAGGCGCGAAAGCGUGGGGAGCAAACAGGAUUAGAUACCCUGGUAGUCCACGCCGUAAACGAUGAGUGCUAAGUGUUAGGGGGUUUCCGCCCCUUAGUGCUGCAGCUAACGCAUUAAGCACUCCGCCUGGGGAGUACGGCCGCAAGGCUG
rnacentral:rRNA from 1 species